rnacentral:tRNA from 1 species
UCUCUGGUGGUCUAGUGGUUAGGACUUGGCACUUUCACUGCUGCAGCCCAGGUUCAAUCCCGGGUCUGGGAA